ensembl:lincRNA
GCAGGGGUUCCAGAACCAGUCCCUCACAAACACCAAGGAAUGACUGUAUACUCCUUCAGGUACCAUGAAAAGACACAGCCAUUAACAUAUGUGUUCAACUAAACACAGAGCAUUGACUUGAAACAGUACAUGAUCAGAAUGAAGACAAUACUAUAAGGAACUACAGGGAGAAACUAAUAUUGUCAGGGUGGAGAGGAUAAUGGAGAAAACAAAGAAGGAGGCAUUAUACCUAGGACUCCAGGGAGAGAAGGAAACAGGCAAAGAAGCACAUGAACAUGAAAGUUCUGGUGUGUUGACACACGGGAAUUGGUGCCUACCAUGGCUGGGGAUACACAGUGAUGGAUUUGUGACUUGCUCCUCAGAAAGCUGGCCCAAGGGUGUGCAGCAUAUGAAUGUGGGGGAGUUUACACUACACACGCUCUUGGCUGUAAGU